rnacentral:rRNA from 1 species
AACGGCCACACCAUGCUGAAUAUACCGGUUCUCGUUAGAUCACCGAAGUCAAGCAUCAUUGGGCGCGGUCAGUACUUGGGUGGGUGACCACCUGGGAACACCACGUGUCGUU